GAAUUCGCCCUUCCUACGGGAGGCAGCAGUAAGGAAUAUUGGGCAAUGGGCGCGAGCCUGACCCAGCCAUGCCGCGUGCAGGAAGACGGCCCUAUGGGUUGUAAACUGCUUUUAUACGGGAAUAAUUGUGGGUAUGUAUAUCCACUUGCAAGUACUGUAUGAAUAAGCAUCGGCUAACUCCGUGCCAGCAGCCGCGGUAAUA
rnacentral:rRNA from 1 species